UCUCUACUCCCCAAAACGAAUAAAGGAAGCAGGAAUACGGUAACUAGUGAAAAUUGAAUAUAAACUAUGCUGCCUCUCACAGUUUCAUACAGUCUUAACUAAUGGAUUUUUGUUUUGUUUUGUUUUAAGAGAAGAAUAAUGGGGAAACACGGAUCUUUUAUUUUAGGAAACUGUUAUGGUAAGAUGUAUGUCAGACUUGACAAAUGGAACUAACGCUCUUCGGCUGCUUCUUGUCCUUGUCUUAAACAGGAAUUAAGUUAAACACAGUGCUGAAUGUUAAUUACAUGUUUACUGGCUAAUGAAAAUUACAAAUGGUUUUGCCACCUCAAACAAUGAUGAAAACUCUGAAGACACUGUAAUUAUAUACUUUGAGCAAAAUAACUCAGAAUAUUGAUCAUAAGAAGUGUAAAUCUUUUUUAACUAUUCAUUAAUACCAUAAAUAUGGGCUACAGAAGUUUUUCCUUGCGGUUUGUCUCAUCAGUUAUACUGAGUGGAUGGAUGGUGAGGCUCCUCUGGGGAGGAGGUGAACUCAUUCUCUUAGUAGAAGGAGGCCACUUGUGUAACUCGGGGGUGCCCCCUCCCUUUCGCCCCCGCCCCCUUCAUCCCCAGCAGAAGGUCGAGGAAUAGUUGAACAGGAAGGCUGGACUCAGGGCAGGUGAAGAUGAUCACAGCCUGGCCUUUUCUCUCCCCUCCCUGCCCAUCUCAUUCCUCUCCCUUCUCCCUUUCCUGCCAGUUCUGAUCGAUGACUGCCUUCCCCAGCUCGGGCACCAGUGGGAUAACCUGGCAUUCGGGGGUUCCUAAUGGAGGACCAGUUAGACCAAGACACUCACCCCCCCGCCCCCCCCACAACCCAGCCGUGGAGCCCUGACAACUUCAAUUCCCUCCUUCAGAGAUGGCUCAGGCAGUUCAUUGCAAAAGAAGAAGAAAAAAAAGUUAGGGAUGGAGGUUGCUAUUGGGUAAGGUGGCUCAGGCGGCUGAACCAGAACUGGUUUCCCUGGGUUUGGGAGCAGAAAAAAUUUUUUGUUGUGGUUUUCUUUUAACUUUGGCCAAAGUUGUAGUGCUGGCAGCCACUCGGAUCUAGGAGGUCAAAGGUGAGGGCUGCACUAACCCUAAACGGCUGUCCUGGCCUGGCUACAAGGCCAAACAGGCAGGGGAGAGGGGGUUUGUCAGCCUUGCAGCUUGGCACUUUGGAGGGGGCAUCUGUGGAACCCAUACUUGGGGGGCACAGCAUCAAGUGUGGGUUUUAAGUGAAAUAUUGAGGAUUUUUUUUUUAAAAAGUGCCCUAGGCUUGUGGGACUAGAGUCCUCUUUUUCCCUGAGAAUUCCCAAGGCGCUGGUCUUUGUCUUAGAAGGAAUGGAGUUUCUGAAUGGUGUGAAAGGGACAGAGAGGGUCGCUUCAAAUCGAUUUUACUUGUCCUUUCUGUCUUUUCGGAUCAACGCCCUUCAAUGGGCACAGAGGUGCUCUUUCAACCAAAAACUUGUGCUACAUUUUCUGCCUGUAUUGGUGCUAAAUACAAUAAGCACUGGGCAGGGUUUUUUUUUUUUUUUCUUUGCUCUCCAAAGCAAGAAAGCACCCUAAUUAAAUUGUUUUAUAUGGACAGUCAAGACGGACCAAUUAAGUAUGCAUUAGUAUAAAGAUAUAGUCUGCAGAUAAGGUUGUUUAGAAAAUCACGUGUAGGACAAAGGAGAGGGCGCUAGCAUUUUGGAGAGGUGCCUAGACCCAGCAAGGUCAUGCCCCUUCCUUCUUGGGCCCCAGGGGAAUUGCAAAGGCCCGGGCCCCAGGUGAGAGGGGAACAAGCUCGCUAACAGGUGGGCGACAUUGCCCGAGACUUUCAGGCCCGAAGCCCCGGCCCAAGAGUAGUGGAGUCCGAGGGUCGGGAUUCCUCACAUCUUACUCGGGCAACGUAGCAGACCGAGGUAGCGCUCCCGUAGGACGCAGCGGGACCCCGCAGUGCCCUACUCCAGGUCGAGCCUACUGCCCGAUGUCCCAGGUCCCGGGUGCGGCCCUGCAAUAAUGAAAUCGUCUGCGCCCGGGGAAGGCCAGGAGGGCCAGGGGACACAGACGGUGUCACGGCCGCAGCCCUCUCACAGCCACUAUCAGGGCAGGAGGCCUCCACCUAACACUUCCAAGCUAAGCGCUUUUUCUGAUCUUAGGAAAGAGGAGGAGUUUUUCUGCGAGGAAAGUAACGCUUCCACCCGACGCCAUCCGGCCCGAUGGACGUCGAGGAUCAGUCUCCAGAGUAGGAGAAAGGCCGACGGGUCGGAGAAAGGGUAGCAGGGAGAGCGGCUCGUCGUCCAGCUGAUGCAGCUCUGGGCUUCUCCACCCCCUCUCCUCCCUCAGAGGUGUGGGCGGGCGGAGAGCAUCUCUCCUCGAAGGAGGCGACCCCCAUAGCAGGGGCCGGGGCCUCCCCGCGUCGCGGCUCAGGGCUGUGAUAGGUGGUCCCCGGGCCGAGGGGGCGCGAGCGCCGCGCGUUGCUGCUGGAAGGGCUCGCAGGGCGCACAGGGCAACCCUUAGCAGGGCGGGAGGGAGGAGUGGGGGCGAGAAUUAGAGCCUGGGGAAGUGGCUGAAUGUCAAAAGUAAAAGGUUGAAAAGCCAAUUUUCCAGGCGCGCUUUCGCCCCCCUUAGCUGGUUGCAGGGGCCGUAAAUCAGCGGCCGGCGGCGAGGGCGGGAGGAGCCCCCUCGGCGAGCUCGGCGCGGCCCCGCCCGGACCGUGCGCACCUCCCGGUGGGCCCCGAAUCGAUCCGAAGCCCAGCUAAGGAUGUCACCGCACUAAAUAUUUACUGAUCACACACAAAUAGCCGGGGCUCGAACGAUUUUCCUCUGUGAGGAGAGCGCGGAGAGAAGGGUAAAUCAUUUUAUUAGUGUGGAUAAAGCCCAGAGCACACUCCGGGCUGGAGUGUUUUAAGAUGUGUCUUCAACAGGAUGAAAAGAGUUAGGGAAAUCGAUACCGAGUGAUUAGAAGCCCCCCGGGUGACGAAGGGGGACUGGGCUUUCAGGGAUUUGGCGAGGCCGAGAGGGGGGAGCAGGCCUCAAGGGGGGCGGCCCGACCACCGCCAGGGAGCUCCCCGGCUCAGGCCUCCGUCCCUCCCUCCUCGACGGGAGACGCGAGGGCGCAGCGAGCUGCAGGGAGUCCACUGCGGCCAGGCUUCGUGGUGCCGGCGCCGGGUGAAGGCUGCGCGGGCCGCCGCGGGGCCGAGGGCUUGAGAGCCACUGGCUUCACGCCGCGAGUGGCAGAGGCCAGGCAGCCGCGGGAGUGGAUUGCACGGCGGUGUGGGAACGCCGGCAAGUCCCCCACACGCAGUCUCUCCAGACAGCCUCGGGGAUUAAAGGUGUGGCCUAAACGGGUUGCAUUUCUCCUGCUGGCAUUUCGGGUACUCCUCCCAGCCGCGACCCGAUGCACCCUCGAACUUUCUCCCGGAGAAAUCUCUACCCAUCCUGUCUUUUAAUAUUUUUCAAGAGGUCUCAAUGGCCCAUCCCCGCCAGCUGCCCCUUCCUCCCACCCACUCGGUGUCAGGGGCGGCCGCCGGGUGGCAGAACCCGCUGGGGACUGCCGGGAGAGUGGAUUCCAGGUUCCCUGCUCGUGGGCAGGUGGGACGACAUCUGAGGCCGAGGAGGAAGGCAGGGGGCUGGGUGACAGACACCGAGGAAGCCCCAGGACGUCUGCGUCCUCUCCUAGGCGGGAACUCAGCUUUGGGGGUAUCAGGCCACCCCCAGCGAUGGAAACCCGCCCGGGGCCCUUGGCUGGGUACUGCGAACCCAAGUGGCCAAGGAGUAAAGGCUGGCAGGGCUUGACGAAGUUAGCAAGGCUUUGAGGGGAGUUUGCUGGGAGGGAGAGCAAAACCCCCAAACUCAAGCAGCGAAGUCCUGGCGCGAAAAUGGCUUUUCACUUCUCCAAGCGCAAGUCUCUCUCGCUACUGUGAACAAACCUUGAGGUUCGAAACAGCUGCAAAUAAUCAAGUAGGCGCAAAUUUCGGGAGGGGAAAGGAGGGGCAAAAGGUCCCAGUUCCUCUGGGAAUCAUCCUGUAUGCAACAUCUUCACAAGAGUGGCAGGCAGUUGAAUCUCUGGCCUUCGUGGGACCACUGGACAUCUGGCAGAGAACCAGGAAACCACGGUUCCCUUCUGUGAGUCCCUCAGCCGGAAAACUACAAGAUCCAAAUCCUGUCUUCACUGGCUUCAAGAAUCCUGUCUUCACUGGCUUCAAAACUGGGAUGAAGGAGGCUCCUUAGUGGAGAGCAAAGCAAAGAGAUGAGUGUAAGGCCAUUAUCAUGGACUUUUUCCCCAGCUGCAGGUGAUGGUCUUGUUUUCCCAAGCUGCUACAGAGCUUCUGCAGCUCCAAGCAUGACCACUAUAUUUGGCUGCUUAAAAGCAUGACAAGGGCAGAAAUCAUAAAGGCUUUGCCCAGAGGGCCUUGAUUGUCCUUGCCUUUUGUCCUUUGGUGAGAACUUCAUUGGUGGUGGCUCCAAAAAUCAGGAGACUUUCUGUGAUGAAUUCACCAUAAGAACGUGGGACCCAGCCUCCCUUGAAGGACGUAAGUACCCAAUAUCUGAAGAAAAUUGAGGGUUUUUUUUUGUUGUUUGUUUGUUUUUUGAGACGGAGUCUUGCUCUGUCACCCAGGCUGGAGUGCAGUGGCGUGAUCUCGGCUCACUGCAACCUCUGUCUCCCAAGUUCAAGCGAUUCUCCAGUCUCAGCCUCCCGAGUAGCUGGGAUUACAGGCGUGUGCUACCACUCCCAGCUAAUUUUUAUUUUUAGUAGAGAUGGGGGUUUCACCAUGUUGGCCAGGCUGGUCUUGAACUCCUGAUCUCAGGUGAUCCACCCACCUCGGCCUCCCAAAGUGCUGGGAUUACGGGUGUCGGCCACCAUGCCCAGCCCCUCCUGGCUUUUGUAUAAUUGCAUUUGAUUCAGCUAUAGGGUCUUGUAUGUUAUUGUUUAUACAAGUCAACUGCUUGGUUCCAUUUUUCUUUUCUGUUCUCCAUUUGGUUGGUUUUAUAAUGUACAAAUUCACAUCCAGAUUGUAUAUAUUUUUUCAUCUAGUAAAUGGAUAAACUUAUGGUGAGAUUUUAUUAGACUUUUUUGAAACUUCCAAAAAUUUUAAAUUGCAUUUACUGCUUAAAGGAAUAAUUUGAGAUAUAACUCAAAUCAAGAAGUACUCUAUUUAAGAGAGAUUCAUAUUAAAUAUUUUUGGUAAUGCUUCAUAAGGGAAAUGUAAAAUUCUACUUGAUUUAAAUAGUAUUUGUUACCUUUCAAUUUUCUCAGCUGCACUUUCUCAGUUUACACUCUAAUCUUUUACCUGGACAAUUCCAGUUGCUUCCUAACUGUGCAAUGUACACAUCCUGUUGCUGACCAUGGGAACUCUCUAAAGCACAAAUAUGAUGCUCUCUUCCUGUUUGAACUUUCAAUCAAGGUUACUUGCAAAAUCAGCUUCAUAGUUCUUGGUCUAAUGCCUGAGACCCUGGCUGACCUUGCAACUACCUUCCUUUACAGCUUCAAAAGUUGCUACCUCAAAAAAACCCUCCAAGUUUUGGAAAAGUACUUUAAGGAUUAACCUAUUGUAGGCAUGAGGAGUUGUCUGUGGUUCCCCAAACAUCCCAUGUUCUUUCAAGUUUCCAUGCAUUUGCACAUUCUGAUACUACUGUCUGGAUUAUGAUUUUCUACCUAUCCUGCCUUAUAGGAGAAUUUAUUUAUUUCUCAAAAUGCAAAUGUUCUCUCCUCAAUGAAGACGUGCUAAAACUCAUCUUUAGCCCAUUUCCAAGUAGCCAGCAGUUAACACUUUUGUAACACUGUGCAUGUAUUUCUAGUACAGGAUCUAGAUCUGUACAUUGCAUGUACCUUUAAUAUAAACUCUAACCCCCACAUUAGAUGAGAUUUCGUUGUCAGGGCCUAAGGCAUGAGAAAGAGAACUGGUUAGCAGGCUGUCAGUAGGAAAUAGAAAGCUAAGCAGGGUAGUUCUUCUUUGUGACUUUUGAAGACACUGGACAAGUAAAUCUGAUGAAGAUAGACUUGGGUUCAAACCAUGGAUUGAGCAUCAUGCAUUUCACUCACAUUAUCACAUUUACAAAAUGCCCAUAUCAUAUGAUGGGUAUUUCACUCAUAUAUCUCAGAAAAAUCUAUUCUAUGGUUUGUGGAGGUAAUAACUGUUUUAGAAGCAGAAUUUUAAUGCAAAAUUGAUAAAUUCUUGUAUGCAAAUUGUAAUAUUUAAAGAAUUUCCACCAUUCUCCACACAUUACUGGGACUGGAUAAUUAUCUGAAAGGCAGAUUCUGGUUUUGAAGGUCUAGACAACAGCGUAGUAGACUUUCUUUUUAGUGCUUACUUUGAUUAUCAUUGGCUAUCUAACAUUAAUGUAAAUAAGAAUUAUAAAAAAUGAGAAAACGUGUUUGUUUUAUUUUAGGGGUAACUGAAAGUAUCUUUUGAAAGGGCAGUUUAAAUAUUCCCAACCUUUAUAUUAUUAAAAUACACUGUGGUGUCUUUCUCUUUAUACUCUGAGCUUGUUGGUAGCAAACCCAUUUAUCUUUGUUGUCUUCCUAACCUAUAGUAUACUGGCUUGCAUUUAUUAUCCUUCUGAUGUGAGUGUUUCUGGAUCCCACAAAAACAUAGGUUGGGGUAGUUUUGGGAGACAAUUAAGCAAAUGAAGCACACCUCUUCUGCUGGGCUGCAGUUGGAUGAUCCCAGCUCAUGCAUUUGGGGAGCUGGUGUAGUGAUACAAAUUUUAGAGCCAGAAUGCAGGGUUUGAAUUCCAGCUCCGUUACUUACCAAUAUGUGCUACCAGGAAAGUCAUGUAACCUCUUUUUGCCCUGAUUUUGUCUACCAUUAAGUAGGGAUAAUACCAAUUACUAUCUCUAAGAAUCUUGAGAAGAUUACAUGUGUUAAUACAUGUAAGGUGCUUGGAACAAUGUCUGACACAUCAUAAAUAUCAUCGAAGUGUCAGCUCUCACUUUAUUGGUUUCAAGUCUUCACAAUCAGCCUCCUUUGUCCUAAGGUCAUGCUACAUUUUGUAUAAAUGUUUCUUAUGGGACAAAAUGCUCCUGUCUGUUUAGGAGUGUGGGUGUGAGUGUUUAAAGACACUGAUGACUUUUGCCCUAUAAUGGAAAUUCUCUGCACCAAAAGAGCCAGAAGAUUGCAUUAUACGUUUAUAAAUUCACAUCAAGUAAAAACAGAGAGGGAGAUGGAUCCCAAAGGACAUAUUAUCAGAAUCGGGCUCCAGAUGGAGAAUUUAUGUGAUUUGAUAUAAGUUUAAAUACAGAGUUGUUUUACUCCAAAGCUUAAGAGGAAGGAAUCGUUGUGGUCAUUGCUAGUUACAUUAAUGGAAGGAGUCUUCCCCAUUUUUAAAACUUAAGUGAUGGUAACUAUUGGCAGAAUUUGUCAUUCAUCUCAACCAGGUUUCUAACGCUUACUCUUAAAUUCCCUCUUUUAAUAUUUAUUUUUUAAAGUUUUAUUAUGCAUAAAAUCUAUUUUUUAAUAAGUUGAAAAGAAUUGGAGUGGGAGGAAAUCAGAGCUGUCAUGGGAACUGGAGAAAAUGGGUGUGGGGAGGGGAAUCUGUAGAGCACGGGUGCCAGGUGUCCUGUGGAUCUCGGCCACAGCCAUCCGCCCAUCACCUCUCCUGUAUUGUUUCUAAUGGAGCAACCUAUUCACUUUUUUUUAAUCAUAUGAGAAAAAGGAUGCAUGGAAAUUCCACAAUCAGUGUCAAUGAGGUCAGACGAUAAGCAACUUUAAGUUUAAUGAGAAACUUCUACAUCAGAGGCUUUAUUUAAUUUGUUUUGUUAUUUUGUCUUACUGUGGCUUCAGAAUUUCACCCAGGAAAUGUAUGGAAGGUUUAACAAUACCGUGUUAAAUCAGUAGAGCUACAUGAUCUUUUCAGUGGAAGAGAAAAAAUAUGAUCAGGACUUGGUGGCCCUAAAUUAACUUGUUUAAAAACAGGAUUCUUAAUUUGGUUAUGAAUUUUCUUACCUCCAGUGAUGUGCUGGGAAGCGUUUAACAACUGGCACUUUGGAAUAAAGCCCUGAUUUAUGCUGUUGGCUUAUUUCCUUUUGGUGAUUUUCCCACCAUAGCCAAUUUUGACCUACCAGUGUGAUGAUACCAAAUGAAGAGUUAAAAGAGAGGUACACAGUGGGCUCUUGAGAGCCUGUUGAAUACGGCGACUACACAACACAACUCUGUUUACAUCUCAGAAAAGAUUUGAGACAGGCCAACAAAAGAGAUUGUCCUGAGAACUGGCAUAUAGAAAAAGCUCUAUGGCUUGCAUGGGCAAUGAUGAGGCACAGCAUUCAAACAGGGAAGCUGGAUCAAUCAACAUUGCCUGGCUGCACAGCAUUAGAUAGCCCAGCCAAUAUUCACUGUUGCACAAUGCUUUUUUUUUUUUUUUUAAACUAAAUUAGUGAAGUAUACAGACAUUCCUGUAGACAGCCACCUGGAUAUGUCAAAGAAAAUACCCAAAAACUGUGCCUCUUUUUUUUUUUUUUUCUUUGAGACAGUCUCUCUCUGUUGCCCAGGCUGGAGCGCAGUGGCACAGUCUUGGCUCACUGCAACCUCUGACUCCCGGUUCAAGCAAUUCUCCUACCUCAGCCUCCCAAGUAGCUGGGAUUACAGGUGCCCAACCACGCCCUGCUAAUUUUUUGUGUUUUUAGUAGAGACGAGGUUUCGCCAUGUUGGCCAGGCUGGUUUUGAACUCCUGAUCUCAAGUGAUCCGCCCGCCUUGGCCUCCCAACGUGCUAAGAUUACAGGCGUGAGCCACCGCGCCUGGCAAAAACUGUGCUUUCUUAUGGUAUAUUUUUUUCCCUUUCUUCUGAAACAUUUUUAGAUUGUUAUCUCAUUUUACUUCAUUUUGCAUCAGAAGGUUUUCACAUAGGAGUCCGUAUUCUUAGGUUUUGUAUGCUUUGGAGGAAUUCACUCUGUAUUCAUUCCCUGUGAGGUCCUAUAUGAUGCCGGUUUCCAAGGGAAGAAGCAAAGUCAAGAAACAAGAUAUCCUCAAGCUACUCUUAGGAUCAUUGUCUGCAUAGAUCUGGCACACAGAAAUGCAAGGAAACAAUUUGUGCAAAGCAUUAAAAAAAAAGGGGGGGGACACUGAGAGUAUAACAAGUGCUCCUGAGAGAGGACAGACGGAGAGGACGCGUGGGCAGGGAUCGCCGCCCUGAGCAGCUGAUGUUCGAGCUAAGAUCUGAAAGGUGCAUGAUUUCCCACUUACCUCCCGCAACCACUACCACCCACAUUGUCCACAGUAUUCAGCUGUCUCAGGGAGGAUCACAAUUAUUCUAAUGGGACUGCAAAGAGUGAAGGACACAGCUUUUAACAUCAGAUUCGAAUCCUACAAUUUGGAACCCAUGGGCACUUCUAGAUUGGAUCUUGCAGAGAUUCUUUACAACAGAAAGAAUGGAAAGGCAAAAGAAAACAUUGAGUAAUAACCAACCCAAGCAAGUCCAGCCUCUUUCUGCAGAAGGCAAGUAGUUCUAAAUGAGUUGAAUAUUUGGCAAUUUUUUUCCAUCCACACUGUUUGACUCCAUUCUGGGCCAAAAUGAUUUGUGACUAAACACAGGCAAAAACAAAGUUUAUUUUUAAUCUGUCUAGCAAUGAGGGUAUUGGCUCAUCAUCCAGAAGAGAUGUGAAUUCUUAUCCUUUAUCUAAUCUUUAACACUCUCUCUCAUACUGGGGAGUGGUGAUGGCGCAAUUUCUAGCACUGAUUUCCUAUUGAAACCGUGGUUUCCUUCAUUGUUUAUCAAAUUCUCUCCUGUCUUACCCUCAAUUCCAACCAACCCAGAGUUUUUCAUCACAGCCACUCUACUUGACAUACAUAUGAGCUUGACAAUAAAAUCCCUUGGAUAUACAUUGUGGAAGAUGGGUGCAUUUUCCAUAUUUUACAUCAUAUUCUUGUUUUUGGAUCACCAAAAUAUGAUGUGUUAUAAUUUAGAAAUUCAUUUCCAUAAAUAAUUUAACUAUAGCUGUAGACUCAUGAAACUUGGAUAUAGGCCAGACAAGCGGCUCAUGCUUAUAAUCCUAGCACUUUGGGAGUCUGAGGCCGGCAGAUCGCUUGAGCCCAGGAGUCGGAGAUCAGCCUGGGUAACAUGGUGAAAUCUCAUCUCUACAAAAAAUAUAAAAAUUAGCAGGGCCUGUUGGCAUAUGCCUGUAGUCUCAGCUACUUGGGAGGCUAAAGUGGGAGGAUCGCUUGAGCCCGGGAGGUCAAGACUGCAGUGAGCCAAGAUCACAGCACUGUACUUCAGUCUGGGUAACAAAGCGAGACCCUGUCUCAAAGGAAAAAAAAAAAAGGAACUUGGGUAUAAUUUAAGAUGGAGCAACAAAUCUGGGGUUUUACCUGGAGUCUCCUACACCAUGUGACCUUUCAAAUUUGGCCGUGCACAAAUCAUGCUGGAAAGGUAUGUUUCAGAACUUUUUCCCUAGUCUUACUCAUCAAAUAUAUUUUCCCCACAGGAAUAUCUAGUGCCAUCAAAGUGGAUAAUUAACAUUCAAGGUGCUAAGACCAUGUCUACAUGAUGAAAAGUGUUUUGGAAAAGAAUAAAUGAGUGCAUUACUAAUGAAAGAUUUUUUUUUCCUUUACAAAAAGUCACUGAAUUAUGCUAUCCAGGCAGCCCACUGUCUGAUGCAUUGAUAAAUGGAGGAAAAGACAAUCACAUUAAGAACAUCAGAACAUCAUUUGCAAUUCUUAAAGUCGGUAUUCAGAAUCAACAAGCAGGGAACUUUCUCUUAAAAUUAGAGGUAAUAACCCACCCAAUUGAGUGGCAGCAAUGUGGUCAAUUGAAGACAGAAAAAAAAGACCUAUUUUCCACAUUACGAACCUUUAGUCCAAGGAAGCGUUUUUCAAAUGAUGUUGGCUGAGACCCCGAGUAAUAAAUAUAUUUUACAUUGCAACACAAAUGCAAAUGAGUGUUGAAACAUCCAUAUAUAAUUGAAACAAAAGUUUCCAAAGUAAUGCUACUCUACUGUCUGCGAUGCACACGUAUUUUCUAUUGUAUUCUAUUUCACUUUAAAAAUAAAUGCUAGUUGCAAACCAUAAAAUUUAUACCCCUAAUGGGGGGGCUGUGGUCCACAGUUUGCAAAAACAGUUAUUUAGCAAUUAUAGUCAUCUAUACUUUUGAAAAAUGUAGCAGAUGGACUCAGAAACUUCCACAAAAAUAUGUAUUCAUAAGCUGAGUGAACUAAAGACCUCUUUAAGGAUACAGUGUGACAUACGAUAGGGGCUCAAUAUAAAUUUGAAGAAAUAAUUAAAAGAACAUAGUAGAAAAGGCCAGGCGUGGUGGCUCAUGCUUGCAAUCCCAGCAUUUUGGAAGGCUGAGGAAGGUGGAUCAUCUGAGGUCAGGAGUUCAACAGCAGCCUGGCCAACAUGCUGAAACCCGAUCUCCACUAAAAAUAUGAAAAUUAGCCGGGCGUGGUGGCGCAUGCUGGUAAUCCCAGCUACUCGGGAAGCUGAGGCUGGGGAAUUGCUUGAUCAUGGAAAGGCGGAGGUUGCAGUGAGCAGAGAUUGUGCCACUGCAUUCCAACCUGAACGGCAGAGCGAGACGCCGUUUCAAACAGCAACAGCGACAACAACAUAGUAGAAAAGAAGAAAAGAAGAAGAUACUGUGGAGAAGCCAUAACAGCAAGUGAGCAGAUAAGGCAACUGAAAUGAGCCUCAAGCAACUUAGAGGUGGCCUAGUUUUGGCAAAGAUUUUAGGCUGUUUAUAAAGCAAAAUAACAACUGGUAUGACUUUAAGUGCUAAAUAUUUUUGUAAAAAAAAUAUAGCGAGGCCAGCGCGGUGGCUCACACCUGUAAUCCCAGCACUUUGGGAGGCCAAGGAGGGCGGAUUAUCUGAGGUCAGGAGUUCGAGUAGUCUGGCCAACAUGGUGAAACCCCGUCUCUACUAAAAAUACAAAAAUUAGCAGGGCGUGGUGGCCCAUGCCUAUAAUCCCAGCUACUCGGGAGGUUGAGGCAGGAGAAUUGCUUGAGCCUGGGAGGCAGAGGUUGCAGUGAGCUGAGAUCAUGCCUGGCUGACAGAGCAAGACUCUGUCUCAAAAAAAAAAAAAAAAAAAAAAAAAAUAGUGACCAGUUGAGGAAAGUUUAAAGCCUUUUGUGAUGAAUGGAUAUGGCUUUGAAUCCCAGAUUUUCCAGUGACCAGCUUUGUCAAUGUGGAAGCUUUUUCCACCACAUCUUGUGUGGUCUUUAAUAUUGGGGUGAUGAUAUCUAGCUAACCAGGUUAUGAUGAGACUUUAUAAUAAUAACACAUGGAAGGAACAUGAUAGGGCCUAAUAGGUAGCAAACGCUCAAGAAAUAAGAAAUCUUAUUUUUUGUGUUAGAUGUUGGUUGUUUUUUUUGUUUUACCCAACUCUGACUUUAGCUUUCUUUUAUGCUGAAUGAAUCUGCCUUUCAAAAUGUUGCAUCAGACACUAACAUACCUUCUCUGCCCAAAUUGUUAACUAGCAGAUAAUCAGGAUGACUCCAUCUUUGUACCUGACUGAGGAACUUAGUGAACCCUGAAGAAAUGAUGAUUAAAGAGACAAUGAAGAGGCCAGGCGCAGUGGCUCAUGCCUGUAAUCCCAGCACUUUGGGAGGCCGAGAUCUCCGUGGGUCUUUUUAUCCUUAAGAAGUUUUGGAGGCAAGGAAGAGCAGAAAUCACUCUCCGCAUUGGAUAGAUGAAGAAAGGAGCCUCAGAGAAGAGAUUCAGAGGUUCUCCUAAGGCCACUAACUAAUAAAUGAUGACAUGAGAGUAAACUGAAGACUUGCAGUGCCAGGGUUGGGGUGGUCCUCCCUGAUGGGGGCCUUGACCUGUGAGGCCAAGGACAACAAAGGAACAGCUGUCUCCUUGCCGUGGAAGUGGCCCAGUAACCAGAAGGACUCAACUGUCAGGGCUGCAAGAACUUCCCAAGGACCCAGCUCUCUGCUGGAGCUGCAAUCAAGAAAUUGAAACACCUGUGGAGCCCCACCUCGCUGAAGAACCAGCACACCUGUCGACCACUGUCUUUCCACCUGCAGAUCCAGGAAGAAAACCAAAGCAAGGAGUAGGGAGAGGCUGUCCUCGGAGAGGCUGUUCUAGGACUGUGCUGCUCCCCUGGGUGCGCAGCCCCUGUGUCUUCCUCCCUCCUUGCGUUACCACUUUCCCUGCCCAUGAACUGAAGGCUCUCUCCUCCCUCUCCCUCUCUGCAUCUUAAAGCUGAGCCCACUAACAUAAAGCCUGGACAACUUGAUCUGCAGUGAAAUCUUGAAGACAGAGUCUGGCCUCCUCAUUAGAAUCCACAUGUUAUUGAGCCUUACCCACUGGUGCUGGCUCUGGCACAGAGAAGGCAACUUAAUACAUUAAUACAACUUAAUAAACUUGUAGAAUGAAUGAAUAUUGUCUGGAAGACACACCAAGUCAAGGGUCGUUUGACAUCUAAUGUUCAAAAACUAUUUUGUGCACCUACCAUUUAGUGGGUACUAUCCUAUUUAUUUAGGACAUGCUGGUGAAGCAAACGGAUUCAUUCUCUGCCCUUGAUAUAUUUUAGCAGGGAAUACAAACAAGUAGUUGCCAUGCAUGUGAUGGUAUGAGAUCCAACAGAUGAAAAGCUCUUACCACCUCCAGGCUCUGUGUUGCACAGAAGCACAGCCUACACUAGAGUCUUCAGUUCCGGCUGACUUUGCAAUCUGGACUUUCCAACGCCUAGUGUGAGCUAAGAUUUGGCUGCCUUUCCCCACUUCCUGCCCCAUGUAGCAGGCCUCUUUUGGCCCUGGGUAUGGAGUAUUCCUACCUCUUGGCAUAAUUCCAGUCUUAUGUAGUGACACCUGCAUCGGUGAGUGGCUGUAGCAACUAUCUAGGCCUGUCUAGAAAUUAAAGCUCUAACUCUAAACUUUGAAAGUCAGGCAAGCAACAGCAGCCCUUCCCUUUCAGGCACCUACCAGCCAUCCUGCUGAAGAUAACCUGGAUUUGCAUCUUCUGGAUGGGAUAGAAGCUGUGACUGAUACUGAGCCAUCUAGGGCAGCAGCCCCCAACCUUUUUGACACCAGGAACUGGUUUCGUGGAAGACAAUUUUUCCACGGACUUGGGGUGAGGGGGAUGGUUUCAGGAUGAUUCAAGCACAUUACAUUUAUUGUGCACUUUAUUCUAUUAUUGUUACAUUGUAAUAUGUAAUGAAAUACUUAUUCAACUCACCAUAAUGUAGAAUCAGUGAAUCAGUAGGAGCCCUGAGCUUGUUCUGCAACCAGACGGUCCCAUCUGGGGGUGAUGGGAGACAGUGACAGAUCAUCAGACAUUAGGUUCUCAUGAGGUGUGUGCAACCUAGAUCUCUCACAUGCACAGUUCUCAAUAGAGUUCGUGCUCCUAUGAGAAUCUGAUGCUGCUGCUGAUGUGGCAGGAGGUGAAACUCAGGUGGUAACGUGAGCAAUGGGGAGUAGCUGUAAAUACAGAUGAAGCUUCGCUCACUCACCUAGCACUUGCCUCCUGCUGUGAAGCCCAGUUUGUAACAGGCCACAGCCAUGGACUAACUAAAAUUGUCCCUAAGUGAAGGUGAGGAUUUCAAAGGCCAAUACAAUGUGUUGAAUGCGGAAGCACUGCAGGGUCUGGAUGCUCAAAUAAUUGUUCUUUUUCUCAAUUUUGGAAAGAAAGUUGUCAAUCUAAAAAGAGCGGUGUUGAAGAACCUGCUCAUUAGAUUAGCCAUGCUUGGCUAAAGGGGAAUGUUAUAGUACUUUCUUUUUUUUCUUGAGUAAAAUCACACUCUGGAAAUGGUUGAGUUGCAGAAACAUCUGGGGGCACUUUAUGACGUUAAUAAGAAGUUUGGCCCUUGAUGCAAGGUUAAUUUAUUUGGGAUGAAACCAUAGCUAGUUCAACUUCCUAUCAUGCUCUCCAGAAAAACCCAUGGCCUGGAAUCCUCCAGGCAAAGCUCAUUUACAUUUUGUAUCUCCCUAUAGUCAAUUCUGAAAUUCCAGUGGUCAUGUUCAGACAUAACUUACUAGAAGAGUCAUUUCAUUCAGAAACGUCUUAAUUUUAAAUGACAUCUUGAGUCUCCGGAUCUGUGCUAUGGAGACUUCUUUAUUUUGAGGUGCUCAUUCUGGUUGAGUAUAUUUAGUGUUUAAGAAAGCAAUUCAAAAGUUAAAAACUGUUUGUUUGUUUUUUUUCAUUGAGUCCCUCUGUCUGGACAAGGAAGACUCCUUCUAAUACCCUUUCUGGUGCUGCAGACUUUCAAUUUCUACUUAUAGUGUUUGUGGAUGGCAAUGGAAAAUGUAUUUCCUGCUGAGCCUGAACUGGAAAUAAAAUUUUGGAGAACUUUGGGAGAAACUGGCAAAGAUUCCACCAAGGUGCACAUCCAAGGGGGCUCAAAUAGUUGCAAAUAUCCCCUUGGUAUGGGGGUGAGCUGCAUGGUAGGAGGAGCUCCACUUGGGGAGCUGAUGGACCUGUGUUUAGAGUCCCACUCCACCAUAAUUCAUUGUUUGAUUAGCCCCUCCACAAAAAAGGGGGGAUUAUAUGGUGUUCCUGCUUGUUGAGUGAAGAUUAGAGUCUGUGAAGGGCUUCGCACAGAGCCUGGCCCAUCGCAAAGACUGGAUACGUGGAAGUGCUUAUUGUUACCAUUCUCUGCAGACAAACUCCAGGAUAGAUUUGACCUGAUUCACCUGGGGUUAUUCUAAUUUCUGUGUUGAGGAACGAGGUGCCCUGUAGAACUCAUGGUUGAAGUAAGUGCUUACACUAUACUGACCGGUUCACCAUGCUAGGUCACUGGGUGAAAUGCACUUGGAAAGUCAAGUGCUCCCUAGAAUUCUAGAUGGUUGGGGGAGGUUUGGGGAGGAACUAACUAGAAAGCGAGAUCUUACAAGUAACAAAAUACCCCAGAGAAGUAAAGGCUAGAUCUAAAAUCAAAGAUACAUUCUUUCAUUCAGUAAAUAUUUAAUUACUUAACAUGUGGUGGACCCUGCGGGGGAUAUGUGGAUAGUAGAUGCAAAAGCUACCGUCUUUACUAACACUAUUCUUUCCUUAUCUGCAACUGGGCUCAGCUAAUUUAGAAUCUUCCAUUUCCUUUCAGUAGCUAGAACGUGGGUAUGAUGGUCAAUUUUUGAAACCCAUUUAAUGUUGUCCUAGAGCUAACUCAGCUGCAUCUGCUUUAUUCGGGCGUGUCUAAUUCACUUUCUGUGUGCAGGGGAUGCCUUGGGCACAUUGUCCAGAUGCAUGGGACUGGACACCACAGAAGUCUUGCUUCACCUAAUCUUUGAGUGAAAGUGUCGGUCCUUAUUGCAUGUAUUGCAGAAGUGUCUCUGGGGUAAAGAAUUUUCCUUCCAGCACUGUUAAUGCACAGUUAAGACACUGACCCUGAGGUCUGGCUGUGAGCUUAUUCAAUCCCCAACUUGGAAAGUCAAAGCAUCAUCUUGAACUUGGUAUGUAGGAAAUAUUUGUUGUUACUAAUAGACAUGGAGAACACUAUAAUGGAUUUGAGAUGUCCAUGAGAUAUUUAGGUGUGCAUGCCUGACAGCCUUCUAAAAUGUGGGCCUGUAGCUCUAGAGAAAAGCUAGAGAUGAGGGAUGAACAGGUGGGAAGUCGUCUGUUCAGUGGUAGUAUCUAAAACCACGAGGCUAGGAGAGAUCACCAGUGGAGUGUCAGGUGGCUAGCGGAUGGGGUGAUUACUGGCCAGGCUCCACAGUAGAGACUUAGCUCCCAUGUGUAGGGUCACCCCUCCCCUGAAUCUGCAAUUCUAUCUCUUGUCAAGGAGGAAUGGGAGCAAUUUUCUGUGUACUGCCUUUUUGCCUCCUCUUAUUCUUGGUGAAGUAGUUUGCUGGAGUUCCAGUAAUUAAUUCUCAUUUUUGUCUAUUCGUGUCUGAUACUCUUCUCCAUAUGGAGUGGCAGGUGACUGGGGAAGUGCUCAGUAGUGCCCUGGGAACUCGAGUGACCACACAACACAGUAUCUUUGGUGCCGGAGAGCACAUACUAGUUUAGUAUCUAAAUGAGACUUUGGAGUCAGAUAUAGAUGAACAGUUCAGCUUCAAUAUCCAAGUCUAUACGAGACAAGAUGGUGGAAGAAGAGCAAAGUGCAAACCCAAGGGGGCCCAGAACUGUGGAACCUGUAGUUGAGAGGUUGAGCUCGGGGGAGAAGUGAGCUCCGUGGAGAUGGUUCUUCAUGUACAUUCUUUGAUUGCUUGGAGUCACCCUGAGACAGACGUUCUUGCUGAAGUUCUAGCCUAAUUCUCAACCCAAUCCCCUACUUCUUUGACUUCCCCACCAUAUCUCACUUUCCUCCAGAGAUUGUGAUUGUAAAACUCUGGUCCCCAUGGCGAUUUUCUGCCCCUUACUUUUCAGACCUUCCUGGAAAUUACUGCCUACCAGUUUAGGCUUUGACCUUGGCCUGUGCUCCUCGCUCAUGGACCCUGCUUAGUUUCAUCUGUUGCAUUUCCAUUGUCAAGGCCUUACCCAGGCCUAGUCUCUGUUUCUGGGACGUCUUCUGGAAUGGCACUCCUGGCACUGCGGGUAUACCGCAUCUUCUAGUGCUUGCUGUAUGAAUGUAAACUCCAUCUUCCACUUUGCGUUUGGAGGUCCCUGUCAGCCAAGGGCCCUUAUCUUUGUUGAGAACUGUGUGUGUGCUUAAUGUCUCAAAUGCCUGCAAAGUAGAAUUGUAGUUCUUAUUUUGUAGGCUACAAAAGAAGGCUCAGAGAAGUUCAGGAGCUUGCGCAAAGUCACAGAACAGGAAGUGGUGGGUGCUAGGAUUAACUGUCAGAUUGGUUUGGUUCCAAAGCCCAUUCUCUUUCCAUAACUAUGGGUGGCUUUCAAGGAGGUAUGAGGAAGUAAGAAAGGUAAGAAAGACAGUGGCCAGGAAGAGUAGACCAGGAGCCUAAGAUCUUUACAGUGACACAGUUUGUGAGUAACUAACUUCAGGGAGGUGGGCUUGUUAAUAAACAGAGUGGAGAAACUGGUCACAAGUACAGAAGGGAGUCGAGGGACUCCCUUCUGUCAGCAUGAAGCUUAUCAUAAUUAACAAACUCUGCUCUUCCAGAUUUAAAAUCAAGAUGAAAUUAAUGUUUCCCUUAGAAAUGCGUGCUGUGGUCCAGGCGCGGUGACUCAUGCCUAUAAUCCCAGCACUAUGGGAGGCUGAGGCGGGUGGAUCACAAGGUCAGCAGUUCAAGACCAUACUGGCCAACAUGGUGAAACCCCAUCUCUACUAAAAGUACAAAAAUUAGCUUGGUGUGGUGGUGCAUGCCUAUAAUCCCAGCUACUUGGGAGGGUGAGGGAUGAGAGUCACUUGAACCCAAGAAGUGGAGGUUGCAGUGAGCUGAGAUUGUGCCACUGCACUUCAGCCUGGUGACAGAACAAGACCCUGUCAAAAAAAAAAAAAAGAAAAAAAGAAAAAGAAAAAGAAAAGAAAGAAAGAAAAAAAGAGAAAUAGAUGCUGUGCUGGAAUGAGGAAUAUUGAAUUCACUUGGCUUUGGGAUACAGUCUUGUUACUUCCGGGUCCUGGAGGCACACAUGCUAUGUAUAUUUGUAACAGAUUCACACACGUGAUUGGGCCAGUAAUCUUGACCACAACCUCCAGGAAGUAUGAACUUAACAUCUGUAAGAAAAGCACAAAUGUUGCUUCUCUGGUUAGCUGUGACUAGUAAUGGCUCCACUUUGCUAGAAGUUCCUGAUGUAACACAUCUUAAUCCAAAAUACGCCUCCCCCCUACCCCCAGUAUAUGGAGAAUAGCUAACAUUCUUCCUUUUCCACUUAGAAGGUGGAUUAGUACCACCUGUCUCAGCUAACGUUCAUGGGAUUCAGCAGGAAAAACAGUAUUAUGAGGGGAAAGCUUCUUUGAAUGCAGUAUUUUAGGAUUAUUUCUUUGGUUGCUAAACUGCUACCUUUGUAUUGAAAGGCGAUGAGACAUUUUCUGGCUGAGAGACAGAGAUAUCCUAGAAAGGUGUCAAGUUAAAAGAGGGCCGAUGAAAAGAUUUGAGCCACAGCCAUCGGAGGAGGGUAAGCGAUUGAUUGCAGGCAUUGCUUACAUUUUCUUCCCACUGCUACAGUUGAGGGAAGGAUUGUGGUCAUCACCUUGCUGCCCCAUCCCACCCCUUCUUCUGUGGAAGGUAUUACCAUGGGCCAUCAUUCCAACUGGAUCGUUGCCAUCCACCAAGGCUGCUCAAUGAUUUUCUCUGUAUAGGGAAAAGGUGGAAGUUACAGUGCCUCAAGAUUCAAAGAGCUGUCUCCUUUGAACUAGGAGUCUCCUUUGAGCCGGAGUCCUGCAGCUCGCUCUUGGCUUUGGCAUUCAACGGGGAUGGUAUCAUGGGCUGGGCAUUUAACCUUUUGCUGUCUGCAUUUCCCCCGUUCUUAAAAUGGAGGUAAUUUAAUUCUCUUGCAGGAGAGUUGGGAAGAUUAAUGAGUCAAUGUUUGGUGAAGUGCUUUGAGAUUCUCAGAUGAAAGGUGCUACAUAAUAAUUACAAUAACACUUUGUUCUUACAUAGUGCCUUUCUUCUAGGGAGCUCAAACUGCUUUAUAAAAUUAUUUCAUUAAUCCUCGCAGCAUCCCUCUAUGGCAGGUAGUAAUUAUAUCCCCCCCAUUCUCAUAUCAGCAAUCUGGGGCACAGAGAGGCAAACUGACCUGGCCAAGGUUACACAGUAGGUCACUGAUAAAAUCAUCAGUUGAAUUCAGAUCUGAUUCAUUCAUUUGUUUGUUCCCUCAUCCACCAAUAUUUACCCAUGAUUAUAUGUCUGACACUUGAGCUAUUGGAUAAAAGAGGAUGUGAUACAAAGUUAAAUGAAAUACACUCUCUUUGAAGAGAUUUAGUCCGGUUGAACAUGUGCAUAAAUCAUUAUAAUAAAAUAUAGCAAUCAUAUAAUACAAUGGAUUGAUAGAAACAAACAUGCAUCUAAAGUAGGCAAAAAGAAACAAGAAAUCUUAGUUUUACUAAAGAGAUAUCAUAUGAGUGAGCUUUCUCUUGAGCAGUGAGUUCACAAAUAGAGAAAAAGAAGUUGAAGAAACAUGCCUCCGAUAAGAGAAGGAAGGACCAUGAUAAAUGCAGGGAGUGAGAUCCACUUGGCAGAGUGGGAGCAAAGGGUUUUUUAGACGGGGGAGUAGGCUAAGAAAUUUGAACUUUAUGCACAAGGCGAUUGAGAAGCAUUGGAGCUUGUUCAAGUAGAAGGAAUGAGGUCAGCUUUAUAUUUAGACCAUUAGCUCUGGUAGCCGAAUAGUAGCAGGUUUGGAUGUGGAAGAGACGUGAGACCAGAAACCAGGAAGACAGGUCUCUGACUCAAAGUCCAGACCAGUCACUGGGUGAUUCUUCUCAACAGUUUUAUGAGCUGGAGCUCCAGUGUUGUUUUGAAAUUCUGCAUGUGGCACUUCGUGAAAACAGUGACAACAAUGGUCUUUCAUGGAUAGUCCAUUUUCUCAAUUCAAGAAACAUACAAAUUAAAAAAAAUUAUCUAUAAUUCAGCUUUUCAGUGAUGGUACAGUGAGCAAUUGUCAUUCUUCUGCCCUGAAAUCCAUCAGGCAAAAUGGUUGAGUCUACAUCAAUUACUUAUUAUAAUAGAAAGUAAGCCUUUGUUAUAUUAUUUGUUAAGUAUCUCUCCACAUUAGAUACGUGAGAAUGAUCUUCAAUGCAAAAGUAUUCAUUUUUAUUUCACGUGAUAAACUAGUCUGUGAUUAGACAUAUUUAUUUUUAUUUUUUACCCGUGAUUGUAACUAUAGAGUCCAUUUUAAGAAUGAUUUCUUGAUGACUUGUAUUUUUUUUUCUUGUCAAAAUCUCUGUUAAGUGUCUGACAGAGAAAAUAUUCAAAUCACUUUGCCUACAUUAGAGGUUCUCAAAAUGUUUUUCAGGUAUGGAUGGCUGCAAGCCUACCUGUUGAAGAGGUAGGUGCACUUGGUCCUCAGAAUGACAGCUACUCAGUACCAGAUCUCUUUGUCUUCAUUAUUCAUGGAUAAUCAUGAGCUGGGAAAAGUCACAAUAUUCUAUGAAAUAAAUCCUGACACAUGGCUGGUUAAGCUAUUCUGCACCUUGUGGACAUACAGUAAAUGCAUCUUGAUUACCUGGCAAUGAACUCAUUUAGCCAUUUUUUUCUUUUAGCCCCAGUUGCUUUAUAAAGAGUACAUUAUCUUUGUCAUUGAGUUUGCUGAGUGAAUCAGUUAGGAUAGGCAUGAUUGUGCUACAGUAAUAAACAUCCCUAAGUAUCAGUGACUAACAAGAAACGUCUAAUUCUGGCUCAUGCAAAGUUCAUUGUAGAUCUGAAUGUCUCUCCAGCAUGCUAUCUUAUAGGUGGUUGAUCUGAAAUUCACCUUCCUGUCAAUAUGCACUUUAGUGAUUGCCAAAGCAGUAAAAGAGGGAAUUCAAACAAUGGCAGUUAAAAGCUUCUAAGAAGUUCCACUCCUCAUUUCUACGCACAUUUCAUUGACUAAAGCAAGUCACUUUUUUAUUAUUAUUAUUUUUAAAAUUGAGUCUCGUUCUGUCAUGCAGGCUGGAGAGCAGUGGUGUGAUCUCAGCUCACUACAACCUCCCCCUCCUCGGUUCAAGUGAUUCUCCUGCCUCAGCCUCCCAAGUAGCUGGAACUACAGGUGUGUGCCACCAUGCCUGGCUAAUUUUUUUGUAUUUUUAGUAGAAAUUGGGUUUCACCAUGUUGGCCAGGCUGGUCUCGAACUCUUGACCUCAGUUGAUCUACCUGCCUCAGCCUCUCAAAGUGCUGGGAUUUACAGGCAUGAGCCACUGUGCCCAGCUGCAAGUCACAUUAUCAUGCCUAACUUCAAGGAGACAAGGAAUUACAAUCCUCCCAUGUGCCCUCAAGAGGGGAACAAUAUGUUUGCCACGAGUCUUUUCUGCUGCUCUUUGAAAGUUACUAUUUUGUUCUUUGAAAAACAUCACAUAUUUCCAUUUACAAAACUUGUAUUUUAAUAUUUGAAAAUCAAGUAAUUUAUUCUUGAUGGCGUUCCUGGAAGAUGUACUGGUAUUAUUAAUCCUAUUGCUUAAAUAUAGCCUACAAUAUGAAACUGUUUAUUGGUUAGUAUCUCUCACCUAAUAGUAAGCUUUUUAAUGGUGAGAAGGGGUAGGAAAUAGGACUGAUAUUUUUUUCUGCAUUCCCAUCACCUAGAAGAAGGGCUGACAUGGAGAAGGCAUUAAACAUUUUCCCACAUAUUGUGGCAUUAGCAAUUUUUACUUCAUAUACAUUUGGAAGAAGACAUAGACAGGUAAGCUGAACUGACUUUCCUCUAAGGAGAAAAAAUUCUAUUUUAUCACAGGAGAAAAUAUUUCAGAAUAAUUUCUAUAGUUGGACUUCUGAUGUGUUUUCUAAUUAUACCUUAAGAAAAGCUAAAGUAUCUAAGAAAACAAAAUAACUUUUGGAAACAUUUUCCUAACUUUGGAAAGAGUUUUGCUUGGGGUAGAGUGAAGUUCGCUGGGCCUGACAUGGUGGGGAGAUUACAUGGAAAUCCUACCUUGUAAAUGAACUCAGGUAACCAAUGAAAGGGAAUGCUAGACUUCCUGUGAAGUGUAUUCUAACUCAGUUUCUUAGGGAUCAUUAACAGAGCUGUUUUUCAGUAUGUACUUAGGCAUCUUAAGUCCAUAAAAAAGCUAUACUAGAGGCCGGGGGCAGUGGCUCAUGCCUGUAAUCCCAGCACUUUGGGAGGCCAAGGCGGGCGGAUCACGAGGUCAGGAAUUCGAGACCAGCCUGGCCAACAUAGUGAAACCCCAUCUCUACUAAAAAUGCAAAAAAAAAAAAUUAGCCAGGCAUGGUGGCACAGCUGAGGCAGGAGAAUUGUUUGAACCUCAGAGGUGGAGGUUGUGGUAAGCCGAGAUUGUGCCACUGCACUCCAGCCUGGGCAACAGAGCGAGACUCCGUCUCAAAAAAAAAAAAAAAAAAAAAGCUAUACUAUAAGAAAAUUCUUUAGCUUUAGCCCACUUGUCUUCUUGAAUUUUAUUCGCAUAUUUCUAGUAAUUCCUUCUAGUAUACUUAAAAUACUUCUUCCUCAUUGGCAAAAGCAUCCUUUGUAGGUUUCCAGCAUGUUCAUCCCUAUUAGUUGCUAUCCUUACUUGGGGUCUAUAAUCUUUCCUUUGUGCCCUUUGUGUGCCAUGACUUUCUGGUCACCCGCUGGUAUAUUCGAAUCAUUCUGACACAGAGAGCAUUAACCCUACAGUUGUGUGAUGUUGGUUUGAGGUUCUUUGUGUAAAGCAUGAAUAAAGUUGAUUUUUCUACUACUUUAGAACAUCAAUAUCAUAGAUUCAUUGGAUCUACUUGUAUCUGCAUUUUAGAUGGUCUGCUACUGAAGUCUUGCUGUUUAAAAGGAGCUGCUGUUGGCUGGGUGUGGUGCCUCAUGCCUGUAAUCCCAGCACUUUGGGAGGUCGAGGUGGAUCACGAGGUCAGGAGUUUGAGACCAGCCUGGCCAACAUGGUGAAACCCUGUCUCUACUAAAAAUAUAAAAAUUAGCUGAGCAUGGUGGCAGGUGCCUGUAAUCCCAGCUACUCAGGAAGCUGAGGCAGGAGAAUCAUUUGAACCCGGGAGGUGGAGGUUGCAGUGAGCCAAGAUCACACCAUUGCACUCCAGCCUGGGUGACAGAGCAAGACUCCGUCAAAAAAAAAAAAAAAAAAAAAAAAGACGGUUUUCUUCCACUGACUUCAUCCUUCAUUCUGAUAAUACUUUACAUUAGGAAAGAAUAGAUUAUUUGCAACUAGAGGCUACUGUGGUGGGUUCCAUGGUAGGUCAACAGGUUCCUUCUUGGUCUGUCUGAGACUUUAGGGAAUUUUCAUUCUUUACUUAUUUUCCUGGAUCCUGAAAGGAGGUAAGGAGUCAUGGCAGGAAUUAGAAGACAAGUGAAAGCCACUUUUUGUUAAGUAGGCACUAAAUGUGGAGGGGUGAAAUCAAAGAUUCCAGGGAUGCUAUGCUUACACACCAGGUCUGCCAUUCUAGCCCCGUGCUUUGUGUAUGUCAUAGUGUGUAGUUCAACGAAGACCAGUCCUUUGAAGAACUCAAAGGGUAAAAGGCAGGAGCUCUAAAAUGCAAGGUGUUUUCUUGUUUAAAGUUUCUGGUCAAUAUGCCUGAAUAUCUAAGGGAUGGCCAAGGGUGUUGGCAUAGGAGUAGAAGUGGAGGAGGGAAAAGAAGAUGGAAUGGUUUCAAGAAGUUAUAGGCAGUCAGGGGACUCCUACCUGAAUCCCAGAAGGUUGUCAGAUGUUGCCUUAAGGGCAUUUUAUUUUAGUUAUAGGUUUGGAAGAGUCAUUUUAGCGUUGUUUCAACUUUUCUGGGGGGUGUGAGGAAUAGGGAGACAUGGGGAAAUAGAAAAAGCUAAGAAAUCAGAGCUUCACUGUUUUUUCUUUUUAUUUUUUUUAAAGACGCAUUUUUCUCUUUUUCCAAAUUAAUGUAUAUUUGAAAACUUUGGCUUCUGGGUGGAUCCCUCUGGAUCUUGUCUAAUGAGCAUCCAUGUAUUUGAAGUGGUAUCAGCAUGCACACACCUUAUGCUCUGCCUUUUGUUUUACUGCAUGCUAGUUCAUAUAUUCUGCAUGUCAAUAUUGUUCAGUACUAGUCAUUUUUAAUAGCUAUCUGUGUUGUGGCUAGUUAAGCUACUACAUUUGAGUUGGCCUGUGCCUAAGUUUUUACAGUUGAUGAUCUUUCUGAUUUUAAAGAUUGUAUAAACUUACAUAAUGUAAUGUAAAGUGUUUGCGUUGGUGUCUAAAUUAGAUGCUGGCUAAGGGUUGCCCUCUUUUCUUUCCUUUUGGUUCCCAAUUGGAUGCAGCCCCCAAACUUUGAGAUUUCUGACUCCCAGCGCUCAUCUCCAACACCAUCAAUCCCAAGAAGGUGAUUUUCAUAUAAUAAUUUUCUGCUCAUAGUUUUAACCUCUUUUGGUGCGUUUCUAUUAUUUCUUUGUCCUUACUGGUGGUUACACCAGCUCCCAGUUUAAUAUCAUUUGCACAUUUCAUUAAUAUGUGGCUUACUCCCUCUUCGAGAUCCUUAAUAAAGAUGUUAAAUUAGAUUGUAUCUGACAUUGACCCCUGGGGCACUGCAAUACUUUAACGAUAUCCCGUUUUCCUGUCUACAGUCUAUAGAGUUCUUGCAGAAUGUGCGAGGAGCAGCUUCAACCUGGGAUAAAUCUUCAAUUUUAAUUCUAAAGCAGAAGUCAAGUCAUGUGGUUGGGGAUAACUUGACAUUGCCAGAACAUACUUGUAGCUGCUAGGAAGUCAUAUUUUAGCAAUUAAGUACAGGUUUGCCAGAAUUCUAUGUCAGAUUGCCAAUCUGCUGACAAUUUCAAGAGAUAGUCUCUCUGUCCUGCUUACUGCAUUUCAGUCAAACUGAGAAGGGUCUUGUUUUAAAAAAAAAAAAUGAAACUAGGCUUUUUUAUUUUAAGGCUUGCAAUCACCUUUCACCAGGUUUUAAACAGCAGGCUUCUUCUGUGUUUCAAAGCAGAUUUGUUAAAGGAACGGUUGUACCAAUUCACCAACGUAGGCAGAAUUCAGGGAAGCACACCAAGUGCCCCACUGAGAGUCCAGACGUGAAAGCCACUUUCAAAUUUCAAGAAUUUACAGCAAGUUCUUCUUUCAAAUUGGAAACAUUUAUUUUUUUCUAAAUAGCAAAGGUAUAAUACCCUAUGAUAUUUUUGGCACAGAAUUUAACUGUCUCAUCAUAUUUGAUUUAAUCAGAGACAUCUAUAUAUUUAUAUCAGAUGCAAAAUUUUUUCAAGUGAAUUGAAGAAUAAUAUCUUAAAAAAUUAGGUUGCAUUAUCAAGUAAACUACAAUGUCUAUGAAAUGCAAUUGACUAUGGUUAAAUGAAAUAUAUUCUUUAAUCAUAUACCUGUAAAGUCUUCUAAGUCCCUCCAAAUUAUCAACUAUCUUAAACGUCACAUGUUAGACGUUCUCAUCAAUUUCUCUUGUUCUGCCUUAAAGUAAACUUCGUUAGCUUUGCAAAGAUUUUGAUCUCCUCUUGGACAUACAUAUUAAGACAAUUCCUUAGAUUUUAACAGAAAGAGAAUGAUUAAAAGAACACACAUAACCAGAACUUGAAACUGGCCCAAUAAAUACAAUUUUUUUUUUUUGGAACUGUAAGCAUGACUAAAAGUGCAUUUUGGCAUCAAACGCAGAAGGUUAUGUAUGUUCUACAAGGUGAUGGAGGAAAGACGCGCAUGUGGGGGUCCUCCCUUCCAAAGGGUUUUUUCACGUGUGUAUGACUCAUUGUGUCUUGGAAAAUACAGUUUCACCCAACUGGUUCCUUGUAUUUGGGAACCUGAAUUCUGAAGCACCCGAGUGAAAUUCUCAAUGUCACCUCUACUCUCUCAUUGCCCUACCCAACUCCACGAAGAAUGACUGACCCCACCCACUUUAAGAAGUAAACAAUGAUUUGGGCAGUUCAGCCAAGAAACCAAAACAGAUCAAUCUCUGUGUGUAAUGAAAUGUUUAAAUUAGUAGUGUUUGAUUGGGUUGAGAUUUGAUGGUAGAAUUUAGAUAGUUCCCUCAAUUCCUGGCUUCUAUUUUGGGUGAACAAUAGGAUAUCAGAACAUUAUGUUAUACUCUCCUGACCUCAAGGAUCUAAUAGUUUAAUGGGCAAGAUAAGGGUUGUGUAAGGAGGAGUUAGAAUCAGAUGAGAUGAUGCACAGUUUGAUGCAAAAGCAAAACAGAGAAGGAGGCAAUCAGUGUGAGAGGAGCUACUAUUUCCGAGGCCUGGCCUUUGGCGCUCGGGUCUCCUCCUCUUAUACCCUUUUGCUGCUUCGAAAUCUGUUUAUUUGUCUAGCGUCUUUUCCCUUGAGCUUUGAGUUCUUUUAUCCAACUGCCUACUAAACAAUGCCACCUUAAAACCCAGGAAACCCACAGGGACAACCUGGUGGUGGAUCUUUCUCUUUUACUCUGUGCCGUGCUUAACACACUUCCUGGAGUAAUCCAGCUUCAGUGUGGUAUACUCAAACCAGUCAUCCUGCAAACAUAGCUGUAGAUGUUCUGGCUUCCGUAUGCUGUUGAAUCUUUAGCCAAUUAAUUUUGCCAAAGCACUUUUGGUGAAGUUUGUAAUACAAGGUAGACAUUGACAGCUGUUCUAGAACCACUCCAAGCAUCAUCAUGCUCUGUUGAUCUCAGUCAUUCCACCUCGCAAAAAUGAGAUGUUCCUGCUGUAACUUCUUCAUUCUUCCUUCUCUGCAAGAACAAAUGCCAGGCCCAAAUGUUUCCUUCUUGUUUCUAGAGGUGGAGAAACACUUUGUACACCAAGUCCUGGGGAAACAAUGCGUAGAUCUAGCCUCUUACCCAGCAUAUGGGUCAGAGAAUGGGAAGAACCAAAGCGAGAGCAGCAGAGAGAAGCCUUCUUCUAUUUUCCUAUAAACCAUGGCUGACUUUCUUCCUUCAAGUGGUGUUUGCUCACUUGUCAUAACUGAGCAGACUAUCAUAAGCCAUAUUUUUCUCAGAUCUCCUGUUUGUACUACUUCAAUGCUAGAAAAGGUUCUUGUAGUUAAGGUUUGGUAUAUAAUAAGUUAUUUUAUGUGGGGAGUAUAAUGUGGUUCUAAUAGUCUAUUUAGCCUGCUUUUUAGAAUGGAUAGUGUUGCUACUAUUUAAAUGUUAUUCUAGUCCUUCAGCCAAAAUGCUUAUUAAAGUAUGCAAGAAUAACUUAUCCAGAGAAUUCCUUAGACAACCAAUAGACACACAUUGAAGAGAAAAACAUUGUUAAAUUACUAUUUUCUUAAGUUUUUUGGUUCACAACCUACCUAACUAACAUCUUCCAGCUUGGAAUUAGAAUGAAAUGCAAAGUGUGGCAUUGAUUUUGAAUGCGUGCUGUGGCGGACAGAGACCCAUGAUAGAAAUAGAAUAGAAUUCUGCACACACAUAUGAAUGCACCCCAGGCAUAUGGGCAUGUGGAUGUAUCAACCACUCUCCUGCACGUCUCUCCUUUGGCAAGGAACUGAAUCUUGGCAUCUUAGUUUCUAGAGUUGUUUAAUGGGCUUUAUUGCACUUAAUUUGUCUACCUCAUAGAGUUUCUUUGUUAAUCAUCUAUAAAAAAUGCAAGUCAGGCCAGGCCGGUGGCUCACGCCUGUAAUCCCAGCACAUUGGGUAGCCGAGGAGAGUGGAUCACCUGAGAUCGGGAGUUUGAGACCAGCCUGACCAACAUGGAGAAACCCUGUCUCUACUAAAAAUACAAAAAAAUUAGCCAGGCUUGGUGGCGCAUGCCUGUAAUCCCAGCUACUCGGGAGGCUGAGGCAGGAGAAUUGUUUGAACCCAGGAGGUCGAGGUUGCAGUGAGCCGAGAUCGUGCCAAUGCGCUCCAGCCUGGGCAACAAGAGUGAAACUCCGUCUCAAAAAAAAAAAAAAAAAAAAAGGCAAGUCAGGUUGUGUCACUCUCCUUUGUUGAAGCUUUCCCUGAAUCUUUUUUGUGGCUUUCUGUGAGUCUUUGAACAAACAAACAUAUCCUUACGGUGACUUCAGGGCAGCACAUGAUCUGGCCCUGUUUCUCUCACUAGCCUCCUCCUUAGUAACUCCUCUUGGUAAUGACUUCUUUUUAGCCCCCACUGGCUUUCUUUUAAAACCUUGAAUUCACCUUAGCAUACCUUUCUGAGAGAGGCCUUCUGACACCUGACAUCCGGAGCUAGGUUCCAAUCCUCUGUCGUGCUGGGUCCACGCCCCUACCAUUCUGCACUAGGUUUGGUCUUGUCUGACAUAUGCUUGAAGAGCCCCUGAAUGCCUCCUUCACCAGACUCAUCUCAGUCGUGAGCAACUUAAUUCUUUAUCUGAUUAGAUGGUAUUAGAUUAAGACUGAUCUUUUCUCCAGACUCUCAUCCCCAUCAGGGAAGGGCUGAGCUCUGACUUGUUGACACAGCCCUCCAGAACCCAGUAGACUACCAGACAUGGAACAUUUCUUAGGUGAACGAAGGAAGAGAAUAAGAUGAUGCCGGUGAUACCCAGUGUAAAACGGCAAACACCACUUACAUGUAAAAUAUUAAUUUCAUGUGUUUGAACUGAUCAAUCACAGAAGCAAACACAUAUAUGCCAUUUUUGUAAACACUUUUACAAGUAGAGAUUAUCCCAUGGGCCAGCAGGAAGACUCUCUCAGGCAAGAGGUUAAGGAAUUGUAGCACAAUUCCCCAUGGUUUUGGAAUUUGAUAUCUUUUUAACGGAAGUGCCUCGGUGUUCUAUUUCCAAGGAAACUCAUCAAUCAUAAGUACCAGAAAUGAAACAUUUAUUAACAAAAAAGAAAUUCAGGUAAUAUGUAUAUUUGCUAUUACAGUCGUCGUAUUUCUUAUUUCGAGGACAAAUGCCUUUUCCAACUCUGUAUUAACAUUUUAAAAUAAUAUUCAUUUGCAUUUUACUUCUUGAUAGCACUUAACAUCUGAAGGAUUAGGAAGGAAUUGUUCUAGCUGAUAAGUAUUGAAUUAAACUUGGAGAAACAUUUUUUUAUCUGAUGACCUUCAUCAUGGUGAAUCUGUUUAGGUUUUAGUGCAAAUCAAAUUUUUCAAAGUACUCUAGAGAGAGGUAAGAAGAUAGGGUUUUUAUCUCUGUAAUAAAUUUUGGAUUUUAAAGACUUGUUUAAGACUUAUUUGGCAUAAGUCAGUUUAAAACUCAGUCUUUAAAUUUUCUUUAAAAAGGAAUAUUCAGUAAACCAUUAUGAUUCUGAAGCAGAAUAAAAUUUGUUUAAAUUCAUAGAUGAAAGUUGGUUUUGUAAGACUGUAGUUUUCUUUCUGAAAACUUCCAUUAUAGGGCUAUCUCAUUGGAAAAUUGAAUUAAAAACAACCUUUCCCAUUAUAUCUAAACAUACACAUAAAGUUGUUUGCACAGCAUGACAAUGGAAAAAUAAAAUGAAGCAUUCUGAGCUAAAUGUUUGGAGGUGAUAUCACUCUUUGAGAAUUUACAGCUCAAGUUUAGGGCUGUUCUACAGGAAAGCCAUGUGUUUUACAGACAAGACCAUUUUUUUCCUUAAUAGGUGGUCAGUUUCUGCAACAAGUAAACCAGAACGAUUUUAGAGGUAAACAGAGAAGAUAAGAAAGAGGGUGUCCAUGUAUUUUUUUUUCCUUCUGUAAAGUUCAGAUCAUGCAUCAUCUCUAAUGAGCUUGAUAAAGCAUAGCAAGGCAAAUGUGCCAUAAUUCAUCAUGUUUUCCAUUUCAAAAGUGACAGGCAACCUACAGGAAAAAAAGUCUUUAUUUUGUAACAAUAAAAAAAGGAGGUGAGAUAAUCACAUUUAAAAUAACAUCUGCAAAGGAACUCUUAAAGUCCACAUCAAAUAUGAAAAAUUGUCUUAUAUUGGGGUUUGUUUGGUUGACAUGAUGCCAAAAAUUACCAUGAGUGCCUGUAAGCAAAAUGUUUGCUUUUAAUAUUUAAUCCAAAUCUAGUAGAAAAAAUUUAAAAAUCUUUAAAAAUUUUGACAGAGAAUGUGCUCUUAUUGUGAGAAAUGGCAAUACUUGGACUUGUUAGAAAGUUUCCAUUAGCUUUCACUCAAUGCUGUUAAACAUUACAGCACAAAAUGUCAAAAGGUUUAGAUCAAAUUUAUUCUGCAAAAAACCAUAAUGUGCUUAUAGUAAUUUUCUGAAUGUUUGCCUAUUUCUAAAAAUGGCUCAACAAAAUAGCAUCCAAAAAUGCAUCUCUUUUUGGUCCAACCAUUUUCUUUGGAAAUCAAUCACAUUUUCUUAUACCAUGGACCUGAGUAUCUUAGACCUCACACAGAGACAAGAAGAGUUGGGAACCAACUAAAUAUAUAGGAUAUAAUCACAUCUUUAAUGCCUCAAGUCAUUCUGCCUUAUCUGCAAGUAAGUGAGGGAGGAUGGAACAUGGUUUGGUCACUGUAAGAAAAAUAAAAGCUACUAUCAAAAAGAAACAUUAAUUUUUUGCAGUGUCUCAGAACUACAAACACACAUUUAAUCACAAAAUAUGUCACUUUUUCUAAUAACUCAAGAAGUCAAUUUGUCUUUACUAAGAAUUUUAAGGAUCAUGUUUAUUUAAAGUUCUAAUCUGUGAAGUAAUGAAGAAAUAACAGGAAUGGUAUGUGGGAUAGUAACUUUUUCUGUUUAGAAUAUAAGAAGUGUAUUUACACAAAGACUUAAAAUAUAGAAACACAUUUGGUUCUAAAUAAUUACAAUUAAUGAAGACCCUGAAUCUUCAUAUUGAGGUACCGAGGUCAAAGCCUCUGGGGUUAAGUUGGAAGCUGUUCUUUAUAACUUUCUUUGCACAUUAGAACACAUAAUAUUUGGUAGAUUUAGAGAAAAAGUCUGGUGGGACUUAGAAUCACUGAGUUUAUAUAGUAUGACUAGAUGUAUACUUGCAGAGCAAAUUCCAUCAUUGUUAUAUCCUUAUGUAUGAGACAAUAUCUUUUUUAUAUAAUAACAUAUUUUAUUUUAUACUUAUGAAUAUUAAAUAUUCUGUUUAAUAACAUUCCAGUUAUAACAGCUCAAUUUACUUGCCACUGAGUUAUUAAUAUGCCACGGCAUAGCAAACUUUUUUUUCUUUGGGUACUCAAGAGCUUCUUUUUAUUAUUGUCUUUGAGCUUUUUAACAGAAGAGAAAGAAAAAAUAUGAUUAUUGGCCAGAUGCAGUGGCUCACACCAGUAAUCCCAGCACUUUGGGAGGCCAAGGCGGGUGGAUCACUUGAGCCCAGGAGUUGGAGACCAGCUGGGGAAACAUGGUGAAACUCCAUCUCCGCAAAAUACACAAAUAUUAGCCGAGUGUGGUGGGGUGCGCCUGAGUCCCAGCUACUCGGGAGGCUGAGGUGGGAGGAUUGCUUGAGCCCCAGAGGCAGAGGUUGCAGUGAGUCGAGAUCACACCACCGCACCUCAGCCUGGGCAAUAGAGCAAGACCCUGUCUCAAAAAAAAGGGAAAAUAUGAUUAUUUAAAUUCAUCUAGUCAACCCAAGCUUUUUCUAUAUAAUGAAACAGCAAAUUGAAUUUUCUUCUCAAAAGUUUAUUCAUUUUUGUUAUUCCCCCAAAUAGCAUUCCUUUAAGGACGAUGGCAUUUGCUUCCUUCUUCCCUGCUCUCUCAAAUAGAGGUGGUUGAAAGUCCUUCCAGAAUUCCCUUUCCUGUUUCUCCUACUACUUUAGGAUCGCCACAGAUGAUGAAGAUAGAAAAGCUUCUCUAAAACAUGGGCUCAUUGUUGAAAAUGAUAGGUUUUACUCACGGGGACUAAUCAGUAAUAUGCCAGCCUCAUAUCAGGGACUGGGGACAUUUUCUAUCAUUGCAGACUCUCUGCAUGAUAAGUUUUUCAGUUCUCAAUUCAAGGGAAGACCUUUGGUUGACUGCAGUGCGUAUGCCUGACUGUGUUAUAUUUCAGCUGUUUCUCCUUUUCCUUCUGACCCCCUUUCCUUCCCAAAGACCAUAAUGUUCUUUCUUAGUUUAGGAAAAGAGACACUUGAAAAUUUGAUCCAGGGCUCAUACUUAAAUUAUUAACUCUUUCUUCUGAUGCCCUAAAUACUUACAUUUCUUGAUGUCCACACCUUUUCACAAAUGCUUAUCUUAUUAUUCCUUCUUACUUACUCUUCUGUGAAUAAAGUCUGAUGGAUUUAUUUUUUACCAUUUUUAAUGAAUAAAUGAUUUCAACCAUUACUUUUCCUUACUAUUUUUAUGAAUAAAUGAUUUCAACCAUUACUUUCCCUUACUUUUAUAUUUAUUGUCAAAGACCACUAAAUUAUGUGGAACUGCAAAAAGGUUUUUGAUAUGAUCUCUAGACUCUCAUAGGAUUUGAACUAAAAUUCACAAUCCAGGGUUUUAAAAAGAAGAGGAAAAACAGUAGUCUUAGUUUUUGACUCUUUUAAAUAAUACUCGUUUAGAAUUAAGUUUAACAUGGCAGAGUUAAAUAUCUAAUGAAAAAGAUCCACUGGAGUACGUGGCGAAAAUUUUUCUGGAGAUAGUAGGCUGAAAGAGGUUGGCAUUUUACACACAUCUUUGUUGAUGGAGGUGGAUUGACAAGGUGACAGUUUCUCCACAAUUCCCAGAAAGACAAAUCAUUAUUUUUAUGGGGAGGGAAAUAGGGUUGGGAAGGCACAUUUCACAAUGAUACAAUCCAUUAUUUAAAGAUAUUAGUAUCUGGCCUCUCCCCCCAUUUAAUCAGAGGCAUUGGGUCUUUCUUCAAUGUUUCUGUAUUUUUUUGAGGGGGGUGGGUGGGGGGAUUAACCGUUUCCCAGCCAGAUCUGCCAAAGGGUUAUUGUUAACCAGUCAAAGGAAGCUGGCAUCCCAACACACUGGCAAGGGCUUGCCCAUGGCUCUUUUUCUCCGCCUGUUAACUUCAUCACUCUCCAGGUGUGGUGUGAAUGGAGAACAUGUGGCCCAGCAGUUGCCAGAGGGCACGUUUUCUAAGCUCAAAGUCAGAGGCCAUUGGGCUGAGACUGCCAAGCUUUGGAACAUCAACGGGGAUUUAGUUGGAAAGGAGUCUAUACAGACGGUAUGGCUAGUGGUUGCCAAUCUCUGAAUUGUUCUUAAGUGGACCCUUUAGGACGGAUGCCCCGCUACCAUUUCCAUGCUUUGAUAACAGCAGUAGUAAAGGCAGAGUGCAGAUAGAUCAUCAUGGUUUAGUCUAUAAUGUCAUAUCCAAAAAGAAACAGAAAAAAAAAAUACCACCAAGCUCUAUUUCUGGCCUCAGGAUUUGGGGAAUUACCAAAUAUUUGAGCUUCUACUAAUUCAGGCAGCAAAACUAAUAAUCCAGCAAGUAUCUGUGUUGUUUUGCAGAAGGCAAAUGCGCUGGCUGGGAAAUCCUAUCAGACUGUACCAUUCCCAAACCAGGCAACAGAGAGCCUUUAAAUGAUCUUGGGAAGAAGGAGGGGCUGGCCAAGGUGUUGUAAGAUUAAAAGAAAAAAAAAUAAAAAAUAAAAAAGUUAAAAAAUUUCUUUUUGUGUUAAAAAAAAAAACAUGUUAAAGCUAAUUUUAUUUAAUGUUCUGAGAGGAAGCACAGAAAAACCAAAGGUGUUGGCCUUCCGGGGUAGGACUGUGGAAGUGAUGGUCAAGCAGCUUUGUUUAAAGAUGCUUACGAGAGGUAUUUAUUUCAAUCGGGGCAUAAACUUCCUUGAAAGUGUCUUUUACCCCUCGCUUCCGCUGCCGAACGUUCUCCUACCCAGAUGGGUAUCAGAAAGUGAGGUUCAGGUUUUGGCCUGCUGAGCCAGGGGAAUACUUGGUCUAACCAUUUACAACAACUGGAUUUUUCCUAUUCCAGUGUAGGAAACCUAAUUACACCCUGGUAAAUUCUCUUCAGUCUACCAAACACAGAAAAAAACAGUGACAGAAACUGAAAGGCCAGAAAAGAGAAAAGAGUCCCUAAGACCUAAUGAAUCCAAACUAAACACCUCUCCACAGAAAUGUCAAACAUUUCUCUUAGCACAAAACAAGGCUUAAAGAAUUCCCUGCUUUUGUCUCUGGCCUAAUUCCUUAAGCAGAGAGGGGGAUUUUCCUCUGGGAGUGUUAUUUCACAAAGAACGAAACAGCAAAUAAACAAAAGACUCUCAAAGAGAGAGAGAGUAUAAAUAAAAUUCAUGACUCCUUAAAGAGUUUACACUGAAAGAAUGUGGAGGAUUAUUUGCAAUUAAAGCAGAGCCUCUAGAAUACAGUUAUUUUAUAUAUAUAUAUAGAUUUAUAUAUAAAGACUGAGAGUUCAUUUCAUUUUCUUCACAAGAAAACUGCACCUAGAUACCCUUGUUUGUAAAAAAUCGUGAAACUUCAUUUUAUUGAGAUCUUUUUGUUGUAAUUUUUGUCACGUAUACAUAUAUUUUGACUUUUUAAUAUUUAAAACUUCUUACAUAUGUAGCCUAGCAAUUCCUAAUUAAUUUAUAUCUUUUUAUAAGAAAGCUACAGGUGAUGCGUGUUGCAAUUUGAUUAAAAAAUAAAUCAGCCUAAAAGACAAAGUUCCAAGAAAAAGUGGUUGUUUUUUUUUUUAGGCAUGUGUGUGUUUAAAAGCGAUUUCCUACAUUUAACAAACACCUUUAAAAUGAGUGUUUUCAGUGUUGAAAAUAUUCUUUUGGUUGAACAAAAGAAAAGUUGUGAUCUAUUAAGAAAAGAAGUUUGAGUUAACAGAAAAGGAGGAGAAAGGACAAAUUUAGAAGUGUCUAGUUUCCUGGAAAAAUCAUAUCAUAAUACAAUGGGUAGUUAAUAACAGAAAUGAGGUUAGAGAAGGGGGAAGGUGAAUAUGAAACAAACGCAAGAUUUCAGUAUUAAUGUAAUAGGCAGACAGAAAUAAAUUGUUAUUAGGAUAAAGCAGCAGAGGCUAAGGAAACUAGUUGAUUGUAAAUUAUAGAGCAAUUAGUCCUCUUUUCAAGUGUGUGUGUGUGUAUGUGUGUGUGUGUGUGUGUUUACCAGGCAUUUGAAUUCUACUUUGAGUGUGACUUAAAACGAUGUGGAUAAUAACUUUAAAAGCCGUGGUACAAGGGCCAUAUAGGCAAGAGGAGUUUAAAGGUAGAAUCCUAGUAAAAGCAUGGUCUUCUAGAGGGCUUAAGUCAUGGGCCUGGGAGAUGGGGCCAGGAUUUAGUGCUUGCAAAGUUUACAGCAGAGUUUAGAUUGAGUCUUAUCCUGACAUGCCUGUCUCAGUGAAAUAUCUGAAACAUUUGGCCCCAUGAGAUUAAAAGAACAGUGCUUAUAUUUAGCAUCUGCUGCCCCCAACUCCAACUUUGCUACUAAUAAAAUUCAGCUCUAUGGAAAAGAAUUUGAAUUCCAGCUGGGCAGUUUUCAAAAUAAGAUGAAAAGUUAAGCAGGCAAUUGGUGUGUAUUUAGGGCUCAAAACACCUUGCCCCCUAAGAAGACUUGAAGGAGUUAAUCCCUUCUCAAGAUAAUCCACUAAAGAGCAUCCUUCAUUAUGAUGUUAAAAGCAAGGAUCAGUGCCGAGGAGUCUAACAAUAGGACAGGGGGCUUUUCAGUCCCAACCACAUUCUUCCCAGGUUAGAAACAGAAACCGCUGUGAUUUCAGCUGAAAAACAGAGUAGGACUUUUCUCUUAUGUUAAAUAUUCAGAUAGAAGGAAGGGGGAGAAAUCUACCACAUUAACUAAAUUCCUCAUUGGAGAGUUUUUCUUAGCAACUAUCUUUUUUAUGUUUUAAGAAAUGAUUGCACUGUCAUGAUAGGAAUCAUUCUAUAACCCAACAGUUACACAGUUUGUAAUCACUUUUGAUUUCAUAGAAAAGUGGAUUUUUGAUUAAAUUGUGUUCAAUGACCCCUCCCCCUGUAAUAUUCAAUGAACAUAAAACUCACCAUAAACUUUUACUAAAGCUGCACCCUAACAUUGUAAUUUGGUGAAAAUUUAUCCUUUAAGAUAUAUUUUAUAUUUUUGGUCAGAUAUUUAUUUCUCAAAGAUUCUUAAUCAUCUUCUAUAAGUAACACGACAAAGUAGUGUUUGUAAACAAAUGAAUAUUAAAAAAAGAUUUUAAAAUCUAGUAUUUACUAUAUUUUAGUACUUUUUAAGUAUUGUAUUUAAGUAAAUACAAUUUACUAUUUGAAAAGGUCUAAAUGUUGUUUUCAAAAUAUUUUAUAAGAAAUUUUUUAAAUUAAAAAGAUGUCUGUAAACAUCUUAACUAUAAGUUCAUCUCUUAGGUAAAUCAGAUGGAAAAGUUGGGCCGUUCCACGCUAAAGGAAAUGUUUCUUUAAAAAAUUUCCUUUUUAUUCAAAGUAUAAACACAUUUUUGAAAGACAUGUUUGUUUUUAAGGAACUUUAUUCUGACCAAAUUGGAUCAAGACAGGGAAAGAUUUUUUUAAGAAGUGUUUUUCAAGGGGAAUCAACUGCAUGCAUAAACGUAUGUUGUCAUUGCCUCCCAUGAGCUCCGCUGUGUGCCUGUGAUGUUCCAGGCAGCUGGCCUCUGAAGACCUGGGAGCUGAGGUUGCCGCCCUGAAGGAGCUGGAGGUGGACAAGCCCCUUUUGGGGAAUUCAGCUGGGCAUGUGUUGGGGUGACAGUAGAUCACUGGAACGAGUGGGACUAUUUAAAAGAGGAAGAGGCAAAGACUGCUGUGAUUUGGAUUUGGUGGGCUCAAAGAGUCAUCUGAAAACCCCAGUAAGACAAAGAAUUUGAAAGAGAGAAGUGUAUCUAUAAUAUAUAAAUAGAAGUCUUUGGGACAUGGGUGAAGACUUCAUAUAUGGAUAUAUAGCUCACAGCUGGUAAGCCAUCACGAAGCUGGUGAUGUAGUAAAGGCAGAAUUUUAAACAGAAUUUUAUGAAUGUUUUAUUUUCAUAAGAAACGUCAUGGAAGGGGAAAGAUUUUGGGGGUAAGAUUUGUUUCCUUAUAUGUGUUAUGUGGGAAUAACUACACUUGAACUCCAGGCUAGUAUGAAGAUUCUUAGAGCGCCUGUCAAAGCCCGUUAUCUCAAUACACCCAUAAUAAAGAACAGAGGUCUGAAGUUUUUGCAGACCCUUUGUGUCCUCAUUAUGUGACUUUAGGCAAGUCCCCUUGUCUUCCUAAGUCACAGUUUGUUGUCAUCUGUCAAGUGAGAAUGGUAUCAACUCACAGAGUUGCUGAGAAUAUAAUAUAAUAUGGUCCAUAAAUAACCCAGUGCUUGGCUCAUGUAAGACCUCAAUUAAUUCUUGCUUUUGCCAAAACAACAAUUAAAAUAUACAUACUGCAAAAUGUCAGGCAUAUAGCAAAUGUGCAUGAAAAAUCAGAUUCUCUUUCUUGUAAAUAUAUGCUUCCUUUUUUUCUUUCCUUUUCUUUUUUUUUUUUAUUUUUUUAUUUUUUUGAGACAGAAUCUCGCUGUGUCCCCCAGGCUGGAGUGCGUGGCGCCAUCUCGGCUCACUGCAACCUCUGCCUCCCAGGUUCAAGUGAUUCUCCUUUCUCAGCCUCCCAACUAGCUGGGAUUACAGGUGUGAGCCACCAUGCUCGGCUAAUUUUUUGUAUUUUUAGUAGAGACGGGGUUUCACCGUGUUAGCCAGAAUGGUCUCGAUCUCCUGACCUCGUGAUCUGCCCGCCUCAGCCUCCCAAAGUGCUGGGAUUACAGGCGUGAGCCACAGCGCCCGGCCGGGCUUGGACUCUUAGCUAUAUUAGCUGCUUUAUGAAUGGGGACUUCUGGCUUCCACCACUGUUCUGAGGGACUCUGCAGUCAGGUCUGGAAAUUAUAGUUACUCCUUAACAGCCACUCCCCUGAGUGGGCUGAGGAAUUGGGCUAAAGGCCUAAACAUGGGGCUUGUGCACCUGCCAUAGGAUAAAAUGUCCUGUAAGCGAAUGACUUAGACUUCUGCCUUGAGGAGAGAGGGUAGGUGGGGUUGGGAGAGUACCUUGACAUUGCUUCGGGAAGCUGUAUUCCCUAACAAACAGGUCAAAGAUUGAAUCUGAAUAUUUUUCACCUUCCUAGAGUAUCAUGCAUUGAAUAAGUGUUCAAUAACUACUAAUUGAAUUGAAUUCAUUUGACAAAAUAAAAGAAAAAAGUAUGGGUCAAGAAAUUUUCUUAGGUUAAGAAGCAAUCUUGAAUUCACAGCUUAAUCAAUAAUGAUUUGCAGAUUCAUUAUUCUCCAACUCUCAGUCGGUACUUCUGGCUGCUUAGUUAUUUUUAAACCUUUACUAGGUACAUAAAUACUUCCCUCUUUAAUGAGAACGAAGCUGGGAAGCCGGUGCUCUAUCAUUAAGUUCCAUUUUAUUCACAAAUGUUUCAGUUUGUGGAUCGCCCUUUAAAAAGUCAUUAAUUUGUCACCAUUUUUCUUAUCCUCUUUAAAAAUAAGGAAAAGAAAAAGGAAGACACUCUUACUGGUCAGAGGAGAGAACACAAUUCCUUCAGUGGAACCAGUAAUUCAAGCUACUGCAUAUGCCAAUUAAAGACCAAUUUGGGGAAAGGUGGAUGCCCUGGGCUCCAUCUGCCAUUCAACCACUGAUUACGGCCUUGUACGGAUGGACUUUCAGCAGCAGGAACCCAAAAUCAUUGGUGAAAUAGGAAAGCUAUUGUACAGAUGUUAGAAAAAUAAGACCUUCACAGUCAUCAGAAAAGUUAUCACUUAAUGUCAUGUGUCAUCAGUCCUUCUUUCUUGUGAUUGAUUAUGUUUGUAUACAUGCACUUGAAAUGUGUUUUUAAAAGAGUAUUAUAAGAGAUAUUUUUCCAAUAAGUACAACAAGUAUUCAAUAAUAGAACAAAUAGAACAUUGAUAUCUCAUUAUUAGUAUUGCUCACAUCUAUAUUAUGAGGCAGAAUUAAAGUUGAAAUGCAAUAAGAGCCAUAUUUUAUCAUAAUAGAUAUUUUUCAUUUUCUGAAAUAAUAUAAUAAAAUAAUGUGGUUGGUUAAAGUAUGUACACACAGGCUAUCAAUUAAGAUGUUUUAAAUUUAAUUAAAUAUUAAAUAAUAAAAGCCACAAGGGGAAGUAAGGGAAGUAAGACAAUUCUUUCUUUAACAUACAACACAUUUAAAUGUUUUCUGAUAAUUAUAGAAAUAUCAAAAUCAGAUCAAUCUUCAUACCUCAGAAAAUUAAAUGAUUAAAUACUGGGGACUAUUAAAACAAAUAAAACUGUUUAUUCCACAACUUUGCACAGCUAAAAAAAAAUCUUCUAUCAUGUCUAGAAACACGUUUCUGACAUAUGCACACCUCACCAGCAUACCUCAGGUUAUUAUACACCUCCAACCACAGCCUCACGGUGGCAGGCAGUCAGUAAGAUGGACCCCAGUGAUCCCUGCCUCCUGGUAUUCACAGUCUAGGGUAAUCUCCUUCCCUGAGUGUGAGCCUGUGGCUUACUUCUAACCAAUAAGAGUACAGAAAAAGCAAUGGGAUGUCAAUUCUGUGAGUUUGUAAAAUUGUAACUUCCAUCUUGCAAGCUAACUCUCUUCUUUGCUGGCUUUCAUGACGCAAUAUACCAUGUUGGAGAGGCUCGCGUGGCGAAGAACUGAGAGGCCUGUAGGAACGAAGUCCAAUAGCCAGGUAGGAAGGAGUCCCUCAGUCCCACAACCCAAGGAAACUGAAUUCUGUCAACUAACACGCAUGUAAGUGAGCUUGGAAGUGACUUGUUCCCCAAGUGAGUCUUCAGAUGAGGUCCUAGCCAACUUUUUGAUUGCAGCUUGUGACACACCCUGAAGCAAAGGACUCAGCUAAGUUGUGUCCUAAUUCCUCCACUGUGAGAAAAUAAAUGUGUGUUUUUUAAAAUGCUAAAUUUGUGGUAAUUUUUAUUCAGUAAUAGAUAGCUAAUACAUGCAUGUACAUACAAACACAUGCACACACACAGUAUUUGGCUUUCACACUGAGGAGAACACAGUUAGUAGGCCCUUUUCAUGUGGCUUUUAAGGUAGCACAAUUACUUUUCUUCGUCUGUGAUCCACCUU